rnacentral:rRNA from 1 species
UGGACCCGCGGUGCAAACGCUAGUUGGUGAGGUAACGGCUCACCAUGGCCACAAUGCAUGACCGACCUGAUGGGGUGAUCGGCCACACUGGGACUGAAACACGGCCCACACUCCUACGGGAGGCAGCAUGGGGGAAUCUUCGGCAAUGGACGAAAGUCUGACCGAGCAACGCCGCGUGAGUGAAGAAGGUUUUGCCGGAUCGUAAAACUCUGUUGUUAGAGAAGAACAAGGACGUUAGUAACUGAACGUCCCCUGACGGUAUCUAACCAGAAAGCCACGGCUAACUACGUGCCAGCAGCCGCGGUAAUACGUAGGUGGCAAGCGUUGUCCGGAUUUAUUGGGCGUAAAGCGAGCGCAAGCGGUUUCUUAAGUCUGAUGUGAAAGCCCCCGGCUCAAUGGGGAGGGUCAUUGGAAACUGGGAGACUUGAGUGCUAAAAUGAGAGUGGAAUUCCGUGUGUAGCGUGAAAUGCCUAGAUAUAUGGAGGAACACCACUGGCGACUCUGCUACUCUGGUCUGUAACUGACGCUGACGCUCGAAAGCGUGAUGAAGCAAACAAGGAUUAGAUACCCUGGUAGUCCACGCCGUAAACGAUGAGUGACUAAGUGUUGGAGGGGUUUCCUCCCUUCAUUGCUGCAGCAAACGCAUUAAACACUCCGCCUGGGGGAGUACGACCUGCAAGGGUUGAGACUCCCACGAAUUGACGGGAGGCCCGCACAAUCGGUUGGAGCAUGUGGUUUUAAUUGAAGCAACGCGUAGAACCUUACCAAGUCUUGACAUCCCUUUUGACCACUCUACAGAUAGAGCUUUCCCUCGGGGACAAAGGAACAGGGGUGCAUGGUUUGUCAUCAUCAGCUCAUCUCGCAAGAGGUGGGUUAAUUCCCCAACUGCCACCCUUUUAUUUUAGCCCCAUCCUAUUUGGGCACUUCAAAGACACUGCGCCUGACAAACCGGAGCAAGGUAAGGAUGGCGUUAAAUCAAACUUCCCUCAGUGACCCUUGGUAACCCCCUUAUCAAAGGGGAACUACAAAGGGUAAGUAGCCCGGGAGGUCCAGCAAAUCUUCUAAAGCUUCUUUCAGUUCGGAUUGCAGGUUGCAAAUUGCAUUCCUGAAGCUGGGAAUGCUAGUAAUCGCGGAUCCGCACGCCCCGGUGAAUACGUUUCCGGGCCUUGGCCCCACGCCCGUCACACCCGAGAAUUUGAACCCCAGAAGUCAGGGAGGUUACCUCGAGCCGCCGAG